rnacentral:tRNA from 1 species
GCGGACAUGGUGGAAUUGGCAGACACGUUAGAUUUAGGAUCUAAUAGCUACGGCUGUAAGGGUUCAAGUCCCUUUGUCCGUA